rnacentral:rRNA from 1 species
GACGAACGCUGGCGGCGUGCUUAACACAUGCAAGUCGAACGGAAAGGCCCUGCUUGCAGGGUGCUCGAGUGGCGAACGGGUGAGUAACACGUGGGUGAUCUGCCCCUUACUUUGGGAUAAGCCUGGGAAACUGGGUCUAAUACUGGAUAGGACCAUGCUGUAGGUGGUGUGGUGGAAAGAUUAGUUUCGGUAGGGGAUGAGCUCGCGGCCUAUCAGCUUGUUGGUGGGGUAAUGGCCUACCAAGGCGUCGACGGGUAGCCGGCCUGAGAGGGUGGACGGCAACAUGGGGACUGAGAUACGGCCCAGACUCCUACGGGAGGCAGCAGUGGGGAAUAUUGCACAAUGGGCGCAAGCCUGAUGCAGCGACGCAGCGUGGGGGAUGACGGCCUUCGGGUUGUAAACUCCUUUCAGCCAUGACGAAGCCCUUGUGGUGACGGUAGUGGUAGAAGAAGCACCGGCUAACUACGUG